UAACAGCCUGUGUCCCAACAGUUUUAACGAAGGCCGGCUAACUCCCGCUAGCUUAGACGGGGCCACUUCCCGUCCCUGAGCUGACGACUGUGACGUCUCAGUGCCGGCCGGAUUCUGUUCUCCCUACUGGAGGUAGGCGAGAAGUCAGCCACACCAAAGCCUCACAAACUCAUAAUGCCAGGUAAAAGGGCAGAAUAAGGACGUCUGAAGAUCCUGUCAUCCAUUAAAGCCAUGAAAAAAAUGGCAAAAUGAUCAGAAUCAACAUUUUCAGAACUCAGGGAAUUAAUCAAAAAAAUGCAGCAAUCCAAGGAUGAUUUUUUUUUUUUUUUUCAGGAAAAAUGACUGACUCUUGCUGUGCGGCAGACCUGAAAGCCAGAAUCCAGCAGUCAUGGUGAAAACCGGCAAUCGGGCAGGCAUGGGGGGGCAGAUUCCCAGAGAAUUCUCAGUACUCAAUCUGCCUGGUGGGUCCCGGAAGGACCCCACUUGCAAGACUGUCUUUUUUCUGACCUGACUCACAGCCCAUCCAGCGUGAAAAGCCUUCUCCACUGCAGGUGUCCAUUGGUUUCUCUUUGCAACACUUCUCCUCCCCUGUCUGAUUUAAAGGGCAACUGCAUAAAGCAAUAAUUAGAAAUAUGCGUUAAUGGGCACACCAUAUAUAAAGGUGUAAUUUAUAUGAGGAUAACCACACGAAGGAACAGAGAGGGCGUGGAGCUAUAUAAAAGCAUAGUUUCUGUACACUAUUGAAAGUAAAUUAGUAUUAUAUGUUAAAUGUCA